AUAGUUUGAUUAUGGCUCAGAAUGAACGUUGGCGGCGUGGAUUAGGCAUGCAAGUCGAGCGAGAAGCCUCCUUCGGGGGGUGGACAGCGGCGAAAGGGAGAGUAACGCGUGGAUCAUCUGCCCUCGGGUUCGGGAUAGCUGCGGGAAACUGCAGGUAAUACCGGAUAACGUCUCCGGACCAAAGGUGCGAUUCCGCCUGGGGAUGAGUCCGCGUCCUACUAGCUUGUUGGUGGGGUAAUGGCCUACCAAGGCUGUGAUGGGUAGCGGGUGUGAGAGCAUGGCCCGUCUCACUGGGACUGAGACACUGCCCAGACACCUACGGGUGGCUGCAGUCGAGAAUCUUCCGCAAUGGACGCAAGUCUGACGGAGCGACGCCGCGUGCGGGAUGAAGGCCUUCGGGUUGUAAACCGCUGUCAGUUGGGAGGAAAUGCAUAGGGGUUCUCUCCUAUGUUUGACCGAUCUUCAGAGGAAGUCCGGGCUAAGUUCGUGCCAGCAGCCGCGGUAAGACGAACCGGACGAACGUUAUUCGGAAUUACUGGGCUUAAAGAGUGCGUAGGCGGCUUUGUAGGUUGGGUGUGAAAUCCCACGGCUCAACCGUGGAACUGCGCUCAAAACCACAAAGCUUGAGGGAGGCAGAGGUAAGCGGAACUGAUGGUGGAGCGGUGAAAUGCGUUGAUAUCAUCAGGAACACCAGUGGCGAAGGCGGCUUACUGGGCCUCUUCUGACGCUGAGGCACGAAAGCUAGGGUAGCGAAC
rnacentral:rRNA from 1 species